CGCUAAGUUCACACCUUUUCAUUCCGUUCCUAGAGUAGUUCCCAGAAGAAGAUUCUCUCUCUCUCGUUGUCUCUCUGGGGCACUUUCCUUCUUCGUCGCGACCAUGGUUGUCUACAGAACGGCCGCCUUGCUGGGUUUACUGUUUUUUCUUGAAAUGCAUUUUUCACUGAUAGUGUCAGCUACAGAUUGCCCCUUAGAUUUGAGUGGGUCGAACUUUACACUGGCUGCCUCCAUCUGCUCCAAUGAUGAAGACAGAGGAACGUGUUGCCGGUACCUCAAUGCCCUUAUUGCAGUUUCUAUUGCUCAAUAUGCAAAUCUCACUGGUGACCUUGGGGUCUCUUCAGAUCUAUCUCAGAUUUGCCUUGAUUCUAUAUCAGAAACCUUGGAACUUUAUGGAGUAACAACAAAUGCUACAGCGUUCUGUGGAUUUGGAACCAAAAUACCUGUUAACUAUGAGUGUCAGGGUAGAACAACUGUUACACAGAUGCUGGAGUCUCCGAAAUUUGCGAAUGUCACUGCAAAUUGCGAACUGCCCCUGUCGGCAGAUACCGAUUGCAGAACAUGUCUAAAUGCUGGCAUUCUGUAUCUUCGCAAUCUAAUAGGGGCAGUAGAUAACAUGACAUUGAGUACUUGUAGGGAUGCAACUUUUGUUGCCCUUGCAAGCCAAGUUGAUAAUGGGUCAGCUGUUGACAUUGCAAGCUGCUUCUUUGGGGUUCAAGGGCUAAUGACUCCCUCAGAUCAAACCCCAUCUUUGAGUUCACCACAGGCAUCUCCAAGUCCAUUGGUUGCCUCUAGCCCUAGCCAGGUCUCUUUGACUGUGCCUCUUAAACAAAAGCACCACGUCUACCAUCUCACAUUAAUUCCAGGUCUGGGCAUAGCAGUUACAGCGGUUGCUGUUAUGAUGCUGGUAGUUUUGAUAUUCCUGAUUCAGAGGAAGAGUAGAGAGCUAGAGAAUUCCGAUGCCAUUGAUAAGGCUUCUUCAAAAGCAUUUGGUCAGCUUCCCAGAAGAUUCCAAGGAGGUCCGACAUCAAUGUUUCGGAAAUUCACUCAUAAGGAGAUGAAGAAGGCAACCGAUAACUUCAACACUGUAAUUGGACAAGGGGGAUUUGGAACUGUUUUCAAAGCUCAGUUCAGUGAUGGUUCAGUGGUAGCUGUGAAGCGGAUGGACAAAGUUUCUGAGCAAGCUGAGGAUGAGUUCUGCAGAGAAAUAGAGCUUCUUGCUAGGCUGCAUCAUCGUCAUCUUGUAGCUCUCAGAGGCUUUUGCGUUGCAAGACGUGAGAGGUUUCUUGUAUAUGAGUUUAUGGCAAACGGUAGCUUAAAGGACCAUCUUCACAAUCCAGGCAGAAAUCCUCUGAGUUGGCAGAAUAGAAUUCAAAUUGCCAUUGAUGUGGCAAAUGCUCUGGAGUACCUCCAUUUCUAUUGUGAUCCUCCAUUGUGCCAUAGAGACAUCAAGUCCAGCAAUAUUUUGCUGGAUGAGAAUUUUGUUGCAAAGGUUGCUGAUUUUGGCCUUGCACAUGCUUCAAAAGAUGGCUCAAUUUGCUUUGAACCAGUCAACACUGACAUCAGAGGCACUCCAGGUUACAUGGAUCCAGAGUAUGUGGUCACCCAAGAACUCACCGAAAAAAGUGACGUGUACAGUUAUGGUGUGGUACUGUUAGAGUUGCUUACGGCAAGAAGAGCAAUACAGGACAGCAAGAAUUUGGUGGAGUGGUCCCAAGUCUUCAUGAAUUCAGAUUCAAGGCUUCCCGAGCUUGUGGACCCGACUAUUGCUGAUUCUUUCGACUUCGAUCAACUUCAAACAUUUGUGACAAUCAUAAGAUGGUGCAUCCAGAGGGAAGGAAGGGCAAGACCCUCUAUUAAACAAGUCCUACGGCUUCUGUACGAGUGUUCAGACCCAAUGCAUAGUGGGUUUGUUGAAGCUGUGGAAGAAGGAGAGUAUGAAGGAACUGAGGCAAAAGGAAGAACAACUAGAGGGAAAAUGCGCGGGGGUGAGUUGAUUUUUCACAGCGGAGAUGGUAGGUUUCUUGCUUCUUCUUCGAGUACAUCUAAGUCGUAUUGUAGUAGGCACUUUCUUCUUGAAAAUGGUUCUCCUCAAUCUCCUUCUGCUAUACCCUCCAUUUGAUUGGAAUCAUUCAGGGCAACCCUCAGAGAAAUCCACGCUCCGAUUCGUAAAGCACAGGAUCACAGUCCCUUGGUUAAUUCAGGGAGAGAGAGCGUGUGACCAUCAUACAAGGUGUCCUCUUGGCAGACUUGCUCUUAUGUGUGUCUAGGUCAAAUACAAACUCACAAGCAAGUUCAAAUCAGCAGCAUAAGAGGACUUCUCACUACAACUAAGGUAUUUUGUAAUCACUUCGUGCGCUCUAGGUAUUUUGUAAUCACUUCGUGCGCUGGAAUCUCCUACGUCAGCCUCCAUUGCUAUCUGGAACUCGGCUCUGCUAUAUUUUCUGGCAAACCUAAAUGUUGGCGGGUGCACGACUACUUUCCCUCCCGGUAUUAUGUAAUCAUUUAAUCACUUCCUGGCUAUAACCCUAAUCUGUUUGCUUGUGUAGUUCAUUCCAAGCGCGUACUUGAUGAAGUCCUGAACCUCUAUGCCAGGAGAAAAAGGCAGUGUUGCAAAAAGCAUAUGUCACUUACAAAUAUUCCAAAAAAGUUUAAAAAGUGACAUUUCGAAAUAUGUUCUAGUUCUGCAAGAGGAACCAGAGCUGCAAUAUUCUCCUAGCCCCUAGCAGCAAGCAGAAAUUUUGUCACCUUUUUUUCUGGGCAAUUUGAUCCAUAAGAACCAAACAACCAAAAGAGAAAUUAUGCGAGAAAUCCUCCAAAUCCUUG